GCUGAUAGCUCAGUGAUAAGAGCAGUCGUCCGGCAAGCGAAAGAUUCGAGUUCGAUUCCCGAUACAGCG
rnacentral:tRNA from 1 species